rnacentral:rRNA from 1 species
GUGGGGAAUAUUGGACAAUGGGCGAAAGCCUGAUCCAGCCAUGCCGCGUGUGUGAAGAAGGUCUUCGGAUUGUAAAGCACUUUAAGUUGGGAGGAAGGGCAGUAAGUUAAUACCUUGCUGUUUUGACGUUACCGACAGAAUAAGCACCGGCUAACUUCGUGCCAGCAGCCGCGGUAAUACGAAGGGUGCAAGCGUUAAUCGGAAUUACUGGGCGUAAAGCGCGCGUAGGUGGUUCAGCAAGUUGGAGGUGAAUCCCCGGGCUCAACCUGGGAACUGCCUCCAAAACUACUGGGCUAGAGUACGGUAGAGGGUAGUGGAAUUUCCUGUGUAGCGGUGAAAUGCGUAGAUAUAGGAAGGAACACCAGUGGCGAAGGCGACUACCUGGACUGAUACUGACACUGAGGUGCGAAAGCGUGGGGAGCAAACAGGAUUAGAUACCCGAGUAGUCC